GUAAUGCAUUUCCACAGCAUGUUUUUAAUAGUAAACGCAUCAAUUACGUCGUACCAUUACACAUUUGAUAAUUAAAGGACCACAUUCCCAAAAUUAAAUUUGGGUUAUUUCAACUAUUGGUCAAAUAUCUAAUUUUCGAAUUUAUUUUGUUAAAAAAAAUAAAUAACCUUUACAAUUUUGCUAUUACAUAUCAUUGCCAAAAUAUUUUUCAAUAGUUGAAUUUUGUUAAAUUUUUAAUAUUAAAAACAUAUUGAUAUGUUUUUAAUAUUUCAUAAUCAAGCUACCAAAUUUGAAAAACAUAGUAAUUGCAUAACCCGAAUGCUAAAGAAAGAAAUAAACAUUCACACCACACAAGUAGAAGAAAAAAAACCACAUUCAUUAGCCAUAGGUCAUAAAAUUCAACAUUGUCAACGCAUAUACAAAUAUAUAUAACUACACCAUCUAAGCUCUCAAACACAUUUUUUUAGUAAAUUCAUUUACCAUCUCCUUCACCCUUAGCAGAUUCCCUCUUAUAGUAUUUCAAAAUGGAUCCAAUCGAACUUGCCACUAUUUUAAUUGUUUUCACAAUGGCCCAACGCCAGUUGCUACUAACUUUGGAGGCGUUGUUGAAUGACCACGAAAGGCUAUCACAAAUACCAUGUGACACUAGGAAUAAGAUUAGACACCUAGCGUACUUCUGCAAGAUACACAUGUCUGAUCUUGUAUGUCAGCAAAAGUAUGCAAAUGGAUAGACGAUGCUUCACAAUUUUGUGACAUCUACUUCGAACAACGAUUGGCUUAGAAUCGACGAGAAUCGUCGACGUUAAGGAGAUGGUUGCUAUCUUCCUUCAUGUGUUGGUGCAUGAUGUGAAGAAUCAUGAGAUUUAACCAGAGUUUGUAUGGUCCAGUGAGACAGUAUCGCGACAUUUCAACCUUGUCUUGAUGGUUGUGCUUCAUCUGCAUGAAAAGUUAAUAGCAAAGCCACAACCUGUGACGAGCACAAGCACAGAUGCGAGGUGGCAAUGUUUCAAGAAUUUCCUUGGGGUCUUAGACAACACAUACAUCAAAGUGAACAUGCUCGCAAGUGAUCGACCAAGGUAUUGAACCCGAAUUGUGGUGGCGAUAAACAUCCUCGACAUAUGUAACACGAAAGGGAACUUUGUUUUUGUCUUAGCCGGCUGGGAAGGAUCAACAGCGGAUUCUCGUAUCCUGCGAGAUAGAAUUUCACGACCUAACAGUCUGAAGGUUCCAAAGUCAAUAUGGCUAAUUCAUCUAGGAACACUAAGCAUCUAUGGACGAAGGCAGAGGAGACAUGCCUCGUCGACUUGAUCAUCAUGGGAGGUUGGCAGUCAAACAAUGGGACUUUUCUAUCGGGUUAUUUGUCAUAGUUGGUGAGAAUGUUGGGAGAGAGAAUGCCAGGAUACAGAUUGACAUCCACCACUGUGAUCGAAAGCAUAAUCAAAUUACUAAAAUGAACAUUUCAGGCCAUUGCAAAAAUGAGGGGACCGACGUGCAGUGACUUCGGAUGGAACGAUGAGAAGAAGUGCUUGAUUACGGAGGACAUGUUUGACAAUUGAGUCUGGACACAUGCUGCAGCAAAAGGACUUCUCAACAAGCCUUUCCCGCAUUAAAACAAGUUGUCAUACAUCUUUGGGAAAGACUAGGCGAUAGGGGCCCGUGCAGAGACGUUCACUGAUAUCGGGUCGAAUGUGCUAGGACCUAACGAUGGUGUGCAACCAGAAGAUGGCAGGGAUAUGGAGUUCUUCAAUAUGUGCAACCCCAUAAUGAACAUGUAGCCUGAAGACAUGAUGGCCAAAUGAUCUGGUAGGUCCAACGAUUGUAGGUCAGGUUCCAAUAGUUAAAGGAGGAAGCAUGGCAUGCAAACAUUCGAGACUUUUGACCUCAUUCGUGAAGCCAUGGACUAUGCGAAUGACCAACUCAAAGCCUUUGUUGAAUGGCUAGAUAGAGCUAGCCAAAAGGAAAAAGCUUUGCGACGGGACGUCAUUACACAGUUGCAGUCUAUUUCGGGUGCGAGGACUUCACGAAAUGUAUGAUGGUAGUGAUAGAGAAGAUGUCACUCAUGAAAACCUUUUUAGACAUGCCCGAUGAGUUGAAGCUUACAACUAUAGGGUCAUUCUGUGCGAUAACCCGUAAUUGUCUAUUUGCUUUCGUUGUAUGACCCAUUUUUGGUUUUGAUGUCCUUGGAUUCUUUUUUCCUACUUUGCAUUAUCAUCAUCUACGAUGUAAUUGACGUUCAAUAUUUAAUUGCAUUCUUUAAAAAACAUUUGGUCCCUUUCUCCCA